rnacentral:rRNA from 1 species
UACGAAGGGGGCUAGCGUUGCUCGGAAUCACUGGGCGUAAAGCGCACGUAGGCGGACCCUUAAGUCGGUGGUGAAAUCCUGGAGCUCAACUCCAGAACUGCCUUCGAUACUGGGAGUCUCGAGUCCGAGAGAGGUGAGUGGAACUGCGAGUGUAGAGGUGAAAUUCGUAGAUAUUCGCAAGAACACCAGUGGCGAAGGCGGCUCACUGGCUCGGUACUGACGCUGAGGUGCGAAAGCAUGGGUAGCGAACAGG